UUGCUUUACGUCCUUCAGGAA
ensembl:piRNA 21ur-1477 ncRNA